UACACUGCAAGGGAAGCCAAAGAGGUAAGAUUGUUGAAGUUUAUAUCUCCUCUUCCUUGUCAAAACAUUUACGUAUCUUUUAACAUGCUGCUUUGUCAUAGGUUAGACCAAUCUGUGAAAGAAAAAUCAACCUCUAGUAGAGAAGAGACAGCUGUUUUGAAUCCAGAAAGUCACAGAAAUGUUGAUGAGCUUUUGAAUUUCCCUCGUACAUCGCCUUUAGAUGUUAGAUUUUAAUCUUUUGAGACCUUCUAGAACGUUUAAUUGUUAAAUGUUAUGCCAUAACUCCAGGAAUUUUAUGAACUUGUAGGAUGCAGAUUGGUCCAGAGCAGAAGAUCUGCUUAGGACAGGAAAUAGGGGAGAGGUAGAGUUAGUCAGCUCCAGUACUAGAGGCUUUGUUGUAAGUACAGUGCAAAGAAAUGGUCAAAUGCACUGUAACAUGCACUGCAUUUUCUCCUAUUUUACUGUAUUUGUGUGCAACAAGUUCAUGUAAUUUUCUAAGUUUGGUGCAAUCAUUUUACAGGUAUCUUUUGGCUCAUUGAUAGGACUUUUGCCAUAUUGUAAUCUUGCUGCAAAAUGGAAAUUCUUAGCAUUUGAGUCUUGGUUGAAGCAGAAAGGGUUAGACCCGUCAAUGUAUGAGCAAAAUUUACGAAUUACAGUAGUUACGAUGUCUUAGACAAGAACUUUUCUCUUGAUUCAAGAGUGGGUUCAGAAAUUAGUCAAAAAAUUGGAUGAGAAGUUACACUAGAUAUGAAAUUGGAAGAUCUUCUUAGGAUUUAUGAUGAAGAGAAACUCAAGUUCUUGUCCUUAUUUGUUGGUCAGGUUUGGAGAAACUGGUUUGAUGUUUGAAUUUUAGGUACUUCUCUUUUGAAUUCUGAUAGACUCCUUAUUUGCAGAGAAUUAAGGUGAAUAUGGUAAUGGCUGACCAAAAAUUGGGGAAACUUAUAGUUUCUUUGAGGC
rnacentral:misc_RNA from 1 species